AGAUAGUACAAUUUUGUUGGGACCCUUUUGACUUGGUCUGAAGAUCAAUUGGGUGCAUCAAGGAGGGACAGUGUUUUUAUACACAUAAAGCCAUUUGUAUUCGGUGUCUUUCUCUCUCUUUCCCGGUCACAGAGAAUCUUCUCACAUAAGUCCCAUUCAGUCUGUUCACACUUUACCGGGGGUUCCAAUGAUGACCUGUGCUCAGAUCAGAAAGUUUAAGAGCAGAAAUGGCUUCUCUUUUGUUUGUGUCCUUUUCUUUCCUUCUUCGAUUCAAUGCAAGAUGUUUCGCCCUAUUUAUAUGUUGCCUUCCUAAGAUUAUGUGAAGCACGAACUGAUUGUAUCACUGUAAAUAAGAUUGCCCAAAUUCAAAAUUGAUGUCAGUUUCGAAGUCUUGUUAAGCUCCAGGCCGUUAGAACGGACAUGCGUAAUGGGCUGAGGAACCUUUUUUUCUUUUUUUGCGAAGGUAUGGUAAUGGGCUGAGGAACAACUACUAGUACUAGUUGCAAACUCCACUGCGCAAUCAUACUGACCUAGUACUGUGUGCUGCAGGGCUACCUUCGGCUUAUCACGUACUCCUCCAAUUCAUGAACAGCGUCAGAUGAUAGGCAUGGCUCCUAGGCUACGACCUCCUUUCAAAGAAAAUGCAUGUCACUCGAUCGCUCCUGACUUGCUUAUCUUUUCCCAUGCACGCCCGGGAAGGCAGAUUACUCGAUCGUGUCUCGGGUCAUCAUCGGCAGAACAGCGAUCCACCACAGCACUACCAAAUUGUGAAUCGGGCCGGCUUGCCGUAUUACCGCCCAACCACUCGAUC
rnacentral:lncRNA from 1 species